rnacentral:lncRNA from 1 species
GGGAGCAUUUCAGGCUGCUGCUGGGGGUAGGCACUUAGUCCAAAACCCCAUAGGAAGCCACCCAAACUCAUGUUUGAUCCAGAGACUCCAGGAGGCAUAGUCGGGUGUGGCCAAGGACUCGACUUGGAGUGUGGAGCCAGGGAGGGACUACAGAUUUUAGCAGAUAGAGCCCGACUCCAGGACAGCCAGUUUUCAGGAACCAUCCAGCUCUGCUGGUUGGGAGGCUGCCAGAUGCCUUGGAGGCAGAACCAAUGCUGCCUCACUCACCCACACUUGCAAGUGCUGCGUAAAGCUCCUUGAACAUCGUUGGGACUUGUUCGAGGUUGUCAAGGAUGCGUCAUGAUGAUUAUCUUCCAUAGAGAUGUUAAAGGCAC